GGACCCGCACAAGCGGUGGAUGAUGUGGAUUAAUUCGAUGCAACGCGAAAAACCUUACCUACCCUUGACAUGCCAGGAAUCUUGCUGAGAGGCGAGAGUGCCUUAGGGAGCCUGGACACAGGUGCUGCAUGGCUGUCGUCAGCUCGUGUCGUGAGAUGUUGGGUUAAGUCCCGCAACGAGCGCAACCCUUGUCAUCAGUUGCCAACAUUUCGGAUGUGCACUCUGAUGAGACUGCCGGUGACAAGCCGGAGGAAGGUGGGGAUGACGUCAAGUCCUCAUGGCCCUUAUGGGUAGGGCUUCACACGUCAUACAAUGGUCGGUACAGAGGGUUGCGAAGCCGCGAGGUGGAGCUAAUCCCCGUAAAAGCCCGAUCGUAGUCCGGAUCGCAGUCUGCAACUCGACUGCGUGAAGUCGGAAUCGCUAGUAAUCGCGGAUCAGCAUGCCG
rnacentral:rRNA from 1 species